rnacentral:rRNA from 1 species
UACGGAGGAUUCAAGCGUUAUCCGGAUUUAUUGGGUUUAAAGGGUGCGUAGGCGGAUUUUUAAGUCAGCGGUAAAAUGUCCGGGCUCAACCCGGGCCGGCCGUUGAAACUGAUGAUCUUGAGUGGGCGAGAAGUAUGCGGAAUGCGUGGUGUAGCGGUGAAAUGCAUAGAUAUCGCGCAGAACCCCGAUUGCGAAGGCAGCGUGCCGUGCCGCCACUGACGCUGAGGCACGAAAGCGCGGGGAUCGAACAGG